UCCCAGAGCUCCGACCUCAUCCGCCA
rnacentral:piRNA from 1 species